CCCUUAGAUGUCCGGGGCCGCACGCGCGCUACACUGAAGGAAUCAGCGUGGCUUUCUCCCUGACCCGAAAGGGUUGGGAAACCCGUUGAAUCUCCUUCGUGAUAGGGAUUGGGGCUUGAAAUUGUUCCCCAUGAACGAGGAAUUCCCAGUAAGCGCGAGUCAUAAGCUCGCGUUGAUUACGUCCCUGCCCUUUGUACACACCGCCCGUCGCUACUACCGAUUGAACGGUUUAGUGAGGGCCUCGGAUUGGUCUCGGCCCGCUCUUUACCGGGCGGCGCCGUUGGUCGAGAAGACGCUCGUACUUGAUCGUUUAGAGGAAGUAAAAGUCGUAACA
rnacentral:rRNA from 1 species